UACAGAGGAGCCAAGCGUUGUCCGGAAUUAUUGGGCGUAAAGAGCUCGUAGGCGGUUCGUCACGUCGGCUGUGAAAUCCCGAGGCUCAACCUCGGGUCUGCAGUCGAUACGGGCGGACUGGAGUACUGCAGGGGAGACUGGAAUUCCUGGUGUAGCGGUGAAAUGCGCAGAUAUCAGGAGGAACACCGGUGGCGAAGGCGGGUCUCUGGGCAGUAACUGACGCUGGAGGAGCGAAAGCGUGGGGAGCGAACAGG
rnacentral:rRNA from 1 species